CCACCCUGCACAGAAAAACCCGGGGACAGGGCGCAGCUGUCAGGACGGUGAGAUUAAACGAGAGGGGAUGAAAGAGUAAAACCUUCAAAAAGGAAUGACGCAGACAAGCUGGACAAAUGACACUGCUGACAUGGAUAGCGGUCUAAGAGUACAGCUGAGCUGACAGGGUUUCAUUUGUUGCCUCCCAUCAGACAGCAGAGACUGAUGCUGGUCAUGACUGAACAAACAACAAAUUGUUACCGUGUCUUUUGUUCCUACUGUGUCAUGUUCUGCCUUUCAGAUCUACCAAUUAUUUAUAUACUGCACCAAUUUAACAGUUCUUGGCAUUUUCACACUUUCUACACAUGUGCUUUUGUCUGCUUUAUUGGCACACAGAAGCUAACAGUUAAACCGAAUAAAGCCGCUCUGCCACAAGUCUUUACCUCCAAGGAUAUUUACUCCUAUGGCUGUGAUUGCCGUGGCAACUGUCUCCUCAUCCUGCUGCAUCACUGCUUGCCAACACCACAAGGUGACUGGCAGAGUUCCAUGACUGCCGGGGGGAGAGCCAAUGCCACCACAACACCUGCUCCAUCUUCUUCCUGCCUACCUCUGAGAGCAAUCUGCCCACCUGCUUCCAUGGUAAAGCAGACACAACCUGCCCACGGUUCCUCCCUCCUGGCCUGCUGCUAAAGUGGAGCUAGUCAGCACAGGAGCACAGACGCAGACAGAGCUCUAACAUGCCUGGCAAUCAUACCGUAGGAGGGAGGGAUCAACGUACCUGUGUGUCUUUUGUGUAGCUGCCACGACUAAAGAAAGCUCCCUGCCAGGUUGUGUUUGCUCUCCUUUUUUCCCACCUGUCAUCACGCUGCUUUCUUUCAUCUGUAGGGUGCAGCCUAAAGAUCAUUCCUCGAGGCAGCGAAGACAUUAUCUCAGGAGUAAAGGCGAGAGGUAAAACGACAGAGCUGAACGGUUUAUGGUUGGAGCAUGGUGUACAAAAAGGGGGCUCAGGUGAGGAGCUCUGGCAACUCACUGAAAAAUACCCCCGUACUUAUUGUUGUGAUUGUUGUUUUGAUGAUUAUAUUGUAUAUUUAUUUGGAGAUGAUGAUGACAUUCCCUUGGUGACUGUUACUAAAAUGCUUCGUGCAGUGGCUGAUGAUCUUAUGAAUAAAUUUGGAGGAUAUUUUCCGAAUGCC